GGCGAACGGGUGAGUAGCACGUGGGUGAUCUGCCCCUUACUUUGGGAUAAGCCUGGGAAACUGGGUCUAAUACUGGAUAGGACCAUGCUGUAGGUGGUGUGGUGGAAAGAUUAGUUUCGGUAAGGGAUGAGCUCGCGGCCUAUCAGCUUGUUGGUGGGGUAAUGGCCUACCAAGGCGUCGACGGGUAGCCGGCCUGAGAGGGUGGACGGCCACAUUGGGACUGAGAUACGGCCCAG
rnacentral:rRNA from 1 species